AGUGAACGCUGGCGGUAGGCCUAACACAUGCAAGUCGAACGGCAGCACAGUAAGAUCUUGCUCUUACGGGUGGCGAGUGGCGGACGGGUGAGGAAUACAUCGGAAUCUACUUUUUCGUGGGGGAUAACGGAGGGAAACUGAUGCUAAUACCGAAUACAACCUACGGGUGAAAGCAGGGGAUCUUCGGACCUUGCGCGACUGAAUUAGCCGAUGUCGGAUUAGCUAGUUGGCGGGGUAAAGGCCCACCAAGGCGACGAUCCGUAGCUGGUCUGAGAGGAUGAUCAGCCACACUGGAACUGAGACACGGUCCAGACUCCUACGGGAGGCAGCAGUGGGGAAUCUUGGACAAUGGGCGCAAGCCUGAUCCAGCCAUGCCGCGUGAGUGAAGAAGGCCUUCGGGUUGUAAAGCCCUUUUGUUGGGAAAGAAAAGCAGCAGAUUAAUACCCCGCUGUUCUGACGGUACCCAAAGAAUAAGCCCCGGCUAACUUCGUG
rnacentral:rRNA from 1 species